rnacentral:misc_RNA from 1 species
GAUGGGAUCAUAGCCCAAAACAAAACGUAUCGCAUCUACACUUACUGUCGGCGGUGGAUCGCUAGGCUCUCGUGUCGUCGAAGAACGCAGCAAGGUGCGAAAAGUGGUGCCGGACGCAGCGUGUGGCAUCCAGUGUUUGAACGCAAAAUGCAACACCCAGCCGCGCAGCAGCGUGUCUGACAGGUCAGAUCAAACAGCAUGUGCAGAGCAUGACAGGCUGGGGGGUGACCCGUUGAACUUAAGCAUAUCAGUAGGCGGAGGAAAGGAAACCAACAGGGACUCCCGCAGUAACUGCGAGUGAAGGGGGACAAGCCGCACUGGGAAUCCGCAAGGAAUUGUAUCGGGGGCAGCGCAACUGGUCUGGAACGGCCGACGACAGCGAGUGACAGUCUCGAGCGUGCUCCGUGGCGACAGUCGGGCUGCAUGGGCGCGCAGUCUCAAGGGGUGGUGCAUGACAUCCAAGGCUAAGUACGGACGAGAGGCCGAUAGAGAACAAGUACCGUGAGGGAAAGCUGAAAAGGACUUUGGAAAGAGAGUCAAAAGACGUGAAACCGCGGGCGCAUCCAAUUGCUGGACCCGUCUUGAAACACGGACCAAGGAGUUGUCGUCGCGUGCAAGUGUGCGCAGGGACCUGUGUGGGCAGACCUCGAGGGGUGUGAGCACGCGGCGGCAGACCCGAAAGACGGUGAGCUAUGUCUGGAGAGGGCGAAGCCGGUGGAAACGCUGGUGGAGGCCCGAAGCGGUGCUGACGUGCAAAUCGCUCGCGCCAUCUGGAUAUAGGGGCGAAAGACCAAUCGAACCGUCUGGUAGCUGGUUCCGUC